rnacentral:misc_RNA from 1 species
GUGCAAUUUUUGGAUAAUCGCGUGGUAAAUAUUGCAAUUUUAUCAUGAGGAAAGUCCGUGCUAGCAGGGGCUGUGAUGCCAGUAGUGUUUGUGCUAGACAAAAAAAUAAGUCUAGGGAUGUGCUUUGCGCAUUACGGCGGAUAAAAUGGCUAAGUCUUUGAUAGGCCGGAGUAAUUCUGAAAGUGCCACAGUGACGUAGCUUUUAUGGAGGCAUAAAAGGUGGAACGCGGUAAACCCCUCAAGCUAGCAACCCA